UGGUUACCUUUGUUGCUAUCAUGAGACUUUGGAGCAGGAAAUUCUAGAGGAAGAAACGCUCAACUCUAAAUGGAAUUUCUCCCUACAUCAGUGGUUGACACAGCUCAUGUUCCCUGGGACCAGACUUACGGUGGAGUGGUUUUAUACAGUAAUGGCAGCAAAAAUGAAUAGAUGUUGCUUAAGAUCCAAGAAGAAGAAGAAGAAGUGACUCAAACAGUUUCUGAGCCAACUUAUUCAAACUGCCUCUUCUAGGUCACAUUCUUCUCUGGAAUUUUCCUUGAUGGACAGAUCUUCAAGCUUCCAUUCAUUGCAUCUGCUUUGCAAGUUUUUCUGUAGCAAUAAUUCCUUACAAAAGUCAGAGACAAAAUCCACCUUUCAUUGGUAUUUAUGCCACGUGUUCAUUUGUCUUGCCAUGAGAGUCAUUGGUAAUUUCAAAAUCAAUCUAUAAAGUUAGAUUUGCAAUUUUUAGAGCAGCAGUUCUCAAAGUUUUAAUCUGAGACUCCAAGUCUCUGAAACCCUUUCAAAGGGAC